GACGAGGUGGCCGAGUGGGUAAGGCGAUGGACUGCUAAUCCAUUUUGUUCUGCACGCAUGCGUUCGAAUCCCAUCCUCGUCG
rnacentral:tRNA from 1 species